UCCUGAUCCGCCCCGUUGCCGUUCCCGCAGUGGGGGGGCAGCGCCGGGGCUACGACAGCCGCGUCUACGGGGGCCAGCAGCAGCCGCAGUACUGGGGCCAGCCCGGCAACCGCGGGUGGUCCCCCUGCCCCCAGGGCUACCGGAACUUCUACGAGCGCUACCGGGGCUACGACGAUCGGUUCUACGGCCGCGACUACGACUACAACAGAUACCGCGACUACUACCGGCAGUACAACCGCGAGUGGCAGAAUUACUACCAGGACAGAGACCGGUACUACAGGAACUACUACGGCUACCAGGGCUACCGGUGAACCCCGGCCCAUCCCAAAACGAUUCCCGAAAUUUUGGGGAGGUGGGGGCGGGGCGGCGGGGGUGG